rnacentral:rRNA from 1 species
AUUGAACGCUGGCGGCAGGCCUAACACAUGCAAGUCGAGCGGAGCGGCAGACGGGUGAGUAAUGCUUAGGAAUCUGACUGGUAGUGGUGGAUAACGGCAGGAAACGGGCGCUACUACCGCAUACUAUCAGAUGAGCCUAGGUCGGAUUAGCUAGUUCGUGGGGGAAAGGCAUAGCAGGGCGAAGAUCCGUAACUGGUCCGAGUGGAUGAUCAGUCACACUGGAACUGAGACACGGUCCCGACUCCUACGGGAGGCAGCAGUGGGGAAUAUUGCACAAUGGGUGAAAGCCUGAUCCAGCCAUGCCGCGUGUGUGAAGAAGGUCUUCGGAUUGUAAAGCACUUUAAGUUGGGAGGCGUUACCAGCAGAAUAAGCACCGGCUAACUUCGUGCCAGCAGCCGCGGUAAUUC